rnacentral:tRNA from 1 species
UUGGCAGUAGCUUAGAUGGUGGAGCGCUGGAAUGUGGAUCCGGAGGUCGUGGGUUCGAUCCCCACCUGUCAACCCA